GACGAACGCUGGCGGCGCGCCUAACACAUGCAAGUCGAACGGAGAUUACAGGCGGAAGUUUUCGGAUGGAAGCUUGUAAACUUAGUGGCGGACGGGUGAGUAACACGUGAGCAACCUGCCUAUCAGAGGGGGAUAACGAUUGGAAACGAUCGCUAAUACCGCAUGACAUAGCGGAACCGCAUAAUUCUGUUAUCAAAGAUUUUAUCGCUGAUAGAUGGGCUCGCGUCCGAUUAGAUAGUUGGUGGGGUAACGGCCUACCAAGUCGACGAUCGGUAGCCGGACUGAGAGGUCGAACGGCCACAUUGGGACUGAGACACGGCCCAGACUCCUACGGGAGGCAGCAGUGGGGGAUAUUGCACAAUGGGGGAAACCCUGAUGCAGCGACGCCGCGUGAGGGAAGACGGUCCUCUGGAUUGUAAACCUCUGUCUUCGGGGACGAAACGAGACGGUACCCGAGGAGGAAGCCACGGCUAACUACGUG
rnacentral:rRNA from 1 species